rnacentral:RNase_P_RNA from 1 species
GCAGUGCGCCACUCCACCGCGGCGGGGCAACCCGGCGAGGAAAGUCCGGGCAACGCAGGGCACCCUGCUUCCUAACGGGAAGGACCGGCCAAUCGGGCCGGGACAGCCAGUGCCACAGAAAAUAACCGCCUUUUUUUAGCUGCUGGCUAUUAGCUAUUAGCCCUCGUUCAACCGAAAAGGCUAACAGCUAAUAGCCAGCAGCUAACAGCUAAAAAAAGGUAAGGGUGAAAAGGUGCGGUAAGAGCGCACCAGCGGCUGGGCAACCACGCCGGCUGGGUAAACCUCAGGGGUUGAAAGACCAAAUAAGCGGACACGCGCGCUGGCUCCGGCCGGCGGGCAACGGGCGGCCCGCCCGGGUCCGCGGGUAGGUCGAUGGAGCCUUUCCGCGAGGACUGGCCUAGAUAAAUGGUGGGGACGGGGCCCCCGGGCCCCGGACAGAACCCGGCUUACCGGCGCAUUGCCUAG